rnacentral:tRNA from 1 species
AAAGAAUUAGUUAAAGAUAUAACAUUAGUAUGUCAAUCUAAAAUUAUUAAAAAUUUUAAUAUUCUUUA